UGAGCUCAGGCAAGAACA
rnacentral:rRNA from 1 species